UGUAACUACAGUUUUACACUGUCUAUAUCUAAUAUUUAACUGUCCGUCUUAUUUAAUUUUUUUAAGAUUAGUAAUUUUAUGGGUAUAGAUGAUAAAACUUGAAUAAUAAUUUAUAUGUGACUAUUUUUUUAAGUUUUUUUUAUAAUUUUAAAUAAAAUAGAUGUUUAAACGUUAGACACGAAAAUCCACUUCUGUACUUAAA
rnacentral:pre_miRNA from 1 species